GGGGGGGCUUCUUGGGGUCAGAGUGGGUGUUGAGUAAACCAACCUGAUGCAUUGGCCACAUUCAGUGAUCUUUCUCAUUUUUUUUUUUAAUGGCAAUCAACUUUUUCCUAACUGUAUUUCCAGAUCCAAGAACAACCUCCCUGGUAGAUUUUCACAGAGAUAAUCUUUCCCUUCAAUGCUCCUAAAUGCCUGACCUCAUAUUCCAGGUAACAAGCCAGAUACUACUUCCAUCUUGACCAGGUCAGUACACAACCUGAAGGUCCUUGUGACUCUUCCUGGCAUGUGUCUUCAGUGUCAGGCUUUCUGAUUCUGUUCUCAUAGAAGUUCAUUGUUUAUUUUAUACUUGGCCUUGGUCAUGAAUUCUUGUCAUUUGACGAUGCUCCUUUGGGUCUCACCUGUGCCAUUGCACUAAUUAUGUAGGUGUGCAAGAGAUGUAAGAUUGAUAGAAAAAUUUUGGGGGGAAAUUUCAGUGAAUUUGUACAUCCUGCAGGAUGAUGAGGUUUUGAUGAUUCAUUUGUUCUUCAGCAAAUAUGUUUUCCUUGACCCACCCUGAGCUGGAGGACAGUCAUUUUAUGUAUUUAGUAUGGGGGCUAAAACAGGGAAUAAUACAGAAUAGUCCAUGUCCUCACGGAGUUUCAGGAAGCAUACGCAGAGCUAUCACCACACAUGGAAUUGACUUGCAUUUUCAAAGGCCCAAGAUGGGAGGGAGGCUCUUGUGUUGGGGGGCUAGAAAAUAACUUGGGUGGAUGGAGGAAGUAGGGGACAGGAAGGAAAAAAAAUGGAAUUCUCAGAUGCUUUCCUUUCAAACCAAUGUACACUAGGACACCCAGAGAGGGAAAGCCAUUUGUUAAGAGAUUGACACUGCAGCAACAGCAGUAUUUGGUGAGCUCAAGUUUGGUCCAUUUCUGUAACAGUUCUGUAAUUCCUCUUCCGUGUUUACCAGAUAUUAAUCAUCUUUAGCAUUUUUCCCUGCUGCAGGUGUUUCUGAUUAGACUGUGCCUUUAAAAUAUCCGUGUUCCCUCUGAUCUCUUCCAAUCUGGAACUUCAUUCUAGCAAGUGUAUGGCAUUCACAUGGCUUUACCUUAACCUGUUUUGGCUGCUGUAACAAAAACAGCACAGAGGGCAGCGCAGUUCAUAACCGCCAAGAUAUGGAGCCAACUUAGGUGCCCAUCAACAGGUAGGGUCUGCGUGGUAAAUGGCUGUCUUGGAUUUGGAGGUGUUUGUCGUUCUGCACCCCCCCCCCCAUGGAAAAUCCUGUGACAUUCAUCUUACUUCCAUCCAGUGAAGAGGUCUUUUGGUCCCAGCAGCAGCAGAAAGCUAACUAAAUCAACCUCAGGGAGGCUGAUAACCAUUCCCUCCACCUGGCCUGGGCCACCACAGGUGCAUGGCAGG